GAUGAACGCUGGCGGCGUGCUUAACACAUGCAAGUCGAACGGUGAAGGCGGAGCUUGCUCUGCUGGAUCAGUGGCGAACGGGUGAGUAACACGUGAGCAAUCUGCCCCUGACUCUGGGAUAAGCGCUGGAAACGGCGUCUAAUACUGGAUACGAGCUGCGAAGGCAUCUUCAGCAGCUGGAAGGAAUUUCGGUCAGGGAUGAGCUCGCGGCCUAUCAGCUUGUUGGUGAGGUAAUGGCUCACCAAGGCGUCGACGGGUAGCCGGCCUGAGAGGGUGACCGGCCACACUGGGACUGAGACACGGCCCAGACUCCUACGGGAGGCAGCAGUGGGGAAUAUUGCACAAUGGGCGAAAGCCUGAUGCAGCAACGCCGCGUGAGGGACGACGGCCCUCGGGUUGUAAACCUCUUUUAGCAGGGAAGAAGCGAAAGUGACGGUACCUGCAGAAAAAGCGCCGGCUAACUACGU
rnacentral:rRNA from 1 species